GUAUAAGAGACAGCAGCAGCCGCGGUAAGACGAACCGAGCGAACGUUGUUCGGAAUCACUGGGCUUAAAGGGCGCGUAGGCGGCUCUUCAAGUCGGGGGUGAAAUCCCACAGCUUAACUGUGGAAGUGCCUUCGAUACUGAGGAGCUCGAGCGAGGUAGGGGCAGAGGGAACUUCUGGUGGAGCGGUGAAAUGCGUUGAUAUCAGAAGGAACGCCGGUGGCGAAAGCGCUCUGCUGGACCUCUUCUGACGCUGAGGCGCGAAAGCUAGGGGAGCAAACG
rnacentral:rRNA from 1 species